rnacentral:sRNA from 1 species
CCGUCCAACCUCUGGAACAAAAUGUCCACCCCGGCGGGUACGCGGUUACUCUGGCCCGGUGCACCUUCCCCUGAAGGUGCAAAGCCGACAGCCGUCGCACUCCAGGGAGCACUUCCAUG